CCUAAUCGACUCUCUCUCAUCUUGUUCUUCGAUUUCGUCUGGAUUUCUUGAUGUUUUCAUGGUAUCAGAGCCUAGACGAUGAUCCGACUAUACUUUUCUGCAUCUUGUUAUCUUGGUUGAAGUCUCGUUUGAAAUUUUUGGGGGUGUUUCUGACGUAUUUGGUCGAUGACGAUUCCGAUCUAAAGCGGAUGCUUUUCUGAGACUUUCAUCGUGAUAUCUGAGUAUAUCUUCUUCAAUCGAAUGUUUUGGGUGAUUUCUCGGUGAAUUUUGGGUGAUUUCCAGAUGACUCCCCAGCUUCUAGGGUUUUCGGUGGUUGAACCUAGGGUUUACUGCUAUCCGGUGGCUCGAUCCUCACUCAGUGGAUGUUUUGGGUGACUUUCCGACAUCC
rnacentral:lncRNA from 1 species